rnacentral:tRNA from 1 species
GCCGAAGUGGUGAAAUAGGUAUACACGCUAUCUUGAGGGGGUAGUACUUAAUUAAAAUAAGUAUACGGGUUCAAGUCCCGUCUUCGGCA